rnacentral:rRNA from 1 species
AAAUUGAAGAGUUUGAUCAUGGCUCAGAUUGAACGCUGGCGGCAGGCCUAACACAUGCAAGUCGAACGGUAACAGGAAGCAGCUUGCUGCUUCGCUGACGAGUGGCGGACGGGUGAGUAAUGUCUGGGAAACUGCCUGAUGGAGGGGGAUAACUACUGGAAACGGUAGCUAAUACCGCAUAACGUCGCAAGACCAAAGAGGGGGACCUUCGGGCCUCUUGCCAUCGGAUGUGCCCAGAUGGGAUUAGCUAGUAGGUGGGGUAACGGCUCACCUAGGCGACGAUCCCUAGCUGGUCUGAGAGGAUGACCAGCCACACUGGAACUGAGACACGGUCCAGACUCCUACGGGAGGCAGCAGUGGGGAAUAUUGCACAAUGGGCGCAAGCCUGAUGCAGCCAUGCCGCGUGUAUGAAGAAGGUCUUCGGGUUGUAAAGUACUUUCAGCGGGGAGGAAGGGAGUAAAGUUAAUACCUUU